rnacentral:rRNA from 1 species
UCCAGACUCCUACGGGAGGCAGCAGUGGGGAAUAUUGCACAAUGGGGGAAACCCUGAUGCAGCGACGCCGCGUGAGUGAAGGAGCGUUUCGGCGCGUAAAGCUCUAUCAGCAGGGAAGACAAACUGCCCCGGAAGGGGCAGCCGGACGGUACCUGACCAAGAAGCCCCGGCUAACUACGUGCCAGCAGCCGCGGUAAUACGUAGGGGGCAAGCGUUAUCCGGAUUUACUGGGUGUAAAGGGAGCGUAGACGGCAAUGCAAGUCUGGAGUGAAAGCCCAAGGCCCAACCAUGGGACUGCUCUGGAAACUGUGUAGCUUGAGUGCAGGAGGGGUAAGCGGAAUUCCUAGUGUAGCGGUGAAAUGCGUAGAUAUUAGGAGGAACACCGGUGGCGAAGGCGGCUUACUGGACUGCAACUGACGUUGAGGCUCGAAGGCGUGGGGAGCAAACAGGAUUAGAUACCCGCGUA